rnacentral:rRNA from 1 species
AUUGAACGCUGGCGGUAUGCCUAACACAUGCAAGUCGAACGGCAGCACAGUAAGAGCUUGCUCUUACGGGUGGCGAGUGGCGGACGGGUGAGGAAUACAUCGGAAUCUACUUUUUCGUGGGGGAUAACGUAGGGAAACUUACGCUAAUACCGCAUACGACCUACGGGUGAAAGCUUGGGAUCUUCGGACCUUGCGCGAUUGAAUGAGCCGAUGUCGGAUUAGCUAGUUGGCGGGGUAAAGGCCCACCAAGGCGACGAUCCGUAGCUGGUCUGAGAGGAUGAUCAGCCACACUGGAACUGAGACACGGUCCAGACUCCUACGGGAGGCAGCAGUGGGGAAUAUUGGACAAUGGGCGCAAGCCUGAUCCAGCCAUACCGCGUGGGUGAAGAAGGCCUUCGGGUUGUAAAGCCCUUUUGUUGGGAAAGAAAAGCAGCAGGUUAAUACCCCGCUGUUCUGACGGUACCCAAAGAAUAAGCACCGGCUAACUUCGUG